GAUCUCGUGACGCUCCUACUAUUGAGGAUGUUACGGAAACAGCACAUGUUAUCGGCCCUGCUGCCCAAGGGACGGUUAUUAUAGAUGAAGAGAGCGAUGAUGAUGUUCCUUUUGCACCAACAAGGAGAAGUAGGCAUGCUGUACCUGCACCCAAUAAUAUUCAAGAUUACAGUGAGGUGGAAGAAGAGAUGAUCCGAGCUGCCAUUGAGGCCUCAAAGAUGGAGGCUGAGGUUAGCUUUUCUAAAGAGGAUGGGCAUUUUUUUGGUUUGUUUUCUUGUUUAUCUUGGCUUAUCAAUCUUUUCGAAAUUUCAAUUGUCUUACAGGGGCUAAAUAAUCCUUUGCCUGAAGAGAGGCCUUCUCACAUGGGAGAUGCUGAUGACAUAGCAAAAGCCGUCACAAUGUCACUGAAGGUCUGUGGUUGUCCCGUCUCUCUCUUCUUCUUUUUCCCAUCUUCCUUUGAUCUCUUCUAAUAUAAGUGUGAAUGCAGUCAGCGGAGGAAGAAACUUUACGCAAUCAAGGGUUUAAGGCCUCAACCUCAGAAAUAGGAACUUCUGCUGCUCAAGGAUCAGAAAGUACCCAAGCCCUGAACGGAAGGUUUGUUGGUUCUUCCUGUAACGCUUUGUGUUAUCUCUGAGCUUAAUAUCUCCAGUUGCAAAAACUUCUGCGGUUUAUCUGCUGUUGUUUGUCAAAAAGCGAGGCCUGAAAAAUUGUGUGUGUUUAAUAUUGUCUAGAUUGGCUGCACCUAGCGCACCAUUUGAGGAUGACUCUGAUGACGUUGAUGAUGAGCCUCUUUAUAGACACAGGCCAAGACGUGUGGCAUCUGGAACUCCGGCCCCACCUAGCCCUGACCGUUCCCGGAGUAGGAGUCCUGAAGGAGAUAAUCCAGUGGACAGUGGCAAUAGGUUUCCUUCCGAGGUAUCAGUAAUACUCCCUCUGUUUUUUAAAGAUGAAUGUUCUAGGAUUUUCACACUUAUUAAGAAACUAUAUUAAAACUUAGUUAUUAAUGCAUAGUUUUUUGUAACUUUAUAUUUCUUAUAUUUUUAAACCAAUAGGAUUAAAAGAAAUGUAAUUAAUAUUUUUGAAACACACAAUUUUUCAUUAUUAGUUGACAAAAUAUGUUUUGAAAACAUGAAAAAUACAUUUUUUGGAAACAAAAUAUUUUUCUAGAACAUCCAUCUUUAAAAAACAGAGGGAGUAUUAUUCUGCGAUAUCGUGGAAAGUCUUAAAAAUAUUUUUAAACAAUUAUUCCUUUAACUUAUCGUUAGCGUAGGAGUUAGAAGAAUAGAGAAACUUCAAGAGAGUUUACACUUCACUUUAUUCUCCAAAUGAUCCCAACAAAAUAGCAAAAAGCCCAAAGCGAAAAGCCCAAAAAAGUUAAAACGACGAGUUUCGCCGAUCCAAAUCCCCAAUUCACAAUCUCUUCUUCUUCUUUUUCUUUUCCCCUUGCUCACUCCAACAAACUAUUCCCAGCAGCUUGCGAAACAACGAUUCCUCUCUUCGUCUCUCAUGGCGUCGCCGAAUCAGGAAGCAAUCGCCACUUUCAUCAGCAUCACCGGCGCUUCUGACGCCGUGGCCGCUCAGAAGCUCCAGGUGAUUCCGAUUUGAAUUACUCAUCUCGAUUCAUGUUUCUCGAUUGGUUUACAUAUGAUAUACGAAAGGUUCUCUAGUCGAAUCGUUUGAUUAUCUCGGAUGCCUUUAGAUUGAUCGGUUAGGGUUGUAAUCGAAGAUGGUCUAAUUAAAUUUAUCUUCUUACAUUGCCGAUUAGCUCUACUGAAUCCUCGCGUUUAUCAUAUCUAUUUGUUCGUCGAUUGAUUAUAUGAUUUUCGCCAGUGUUCAGGUUUAUUCUAAUUUGAGAGCUGACUGGUUCAUGCUUAACAAUUUUACCUUCUUCUUUUGUUAUUCCAGGAGCAUCGUGGCGAUCUUAAUCAAGCUAUUAAUGCGUAUUUCAUCGAGGGAGAUCGAAAUGCGUAUGUCAUCCAUCUCACCGUUGAUUUUAUCAUCUGAAAAUUUAUCAUUAUUUUGUGUGUUUUUUUUUUGUUAUGAUCUUUGCGCAGAGUACGUGAAGCACCAGUGAAUGUCCCUGAAGACGAUGCAAUGGACAUAGAUGAUGAUGUGAUUCCUCCGGCUGCACAAUCUCCUCUAUCUCUUCUCAAUGCAGCGGGUGGACCCUUUUCGCUUCUCGAUUCAGACUUCGCUACAAGUAUUUUUGAUAGGGAUCCGCUCAUGCCACGCCCGCCUUCGUUCGUUAGUCAUCCCAGGGAGGUUAGGCAGAUACCCAUAGAGGUUAAGGAUAGCACUGGGCCAUCAGAACGAUCUCGUGACGCUCCUACUAUUGAGGAUGUUACGGAAACAGCACAUGUUAUCGGCCCUGCUGCCCAAGGGACGGUUAUUAUAGAUGAAGAGAGCGAUGAUGAUGUUCCUUUUGCACCAACAAGGAGAAGUAGGCAUGCUGUACCUGCACCCAAUAAUAUUCAAGAUUACAGUGAGGUGGAAGAAGAGAUGAUCCGAGCUGCCAUUGAGGCCUCAAAGAUGGAGGCUGAGGUUAGCUUUUCUAAAGAGGAUGGG
rnacentral:lncRNA from 1 species